UUGUUUCUCUGUAUAAAAGGCGUGAGAAAGUAAUCACACAUUCAUUAUCAACUUCUCUAGGGUUCUUUAGAUCUCCGCCGAUUAGCUUCUCUGUUUUUCAUUUUUCAUCUUCUUCUUCUGGUUUAAAACUUUUGUUUUUGGUAAAAGUAAUGGACAGUGACGAUUGAUAUUAAGGUCUCGUUCGUCGUAAAAACGGCCGUAAAAAGCCUAUUUGCCGACCAUUCUGUUAUAUCACCACCCAUAUUCUGAGUCCUAUUGAUUUUUGUUUUUCAAUCUUUUUCUAAUCGAUUUUUUGGCCAAUGAUUUAAUCAAAAUUGACAAGCAUAUGUCUGAAUUAAUCCUUGUUGAUAAACUCUAAUCUUCUCUAUGAGGCCUUUUUUCAAUUACCUUUCAAAUCCGAUUUCGUAUUUAUUUCUUUGGUUCUGUUUUUGGUUGAUUUAGUGGCCUAUGAUUUAAAUGAUUAUAGACAAGCAUAUGUCUGAAUUAAUCCUUGUUGAUAAAUCUAAUCUUCUCUAUGAGGUCUAAAUCCGAUUUUGUUUUUUGGUUAUUGGUUUUAAAAUUGUCUUGGAUUUAUUUGAUGAGAAAAGAGGAAAUUGAAAGGGAUCAAGUGAUGAUUGAUAACGCAUAGUUCAGAUGAUAAAUUCUAUUAUGAUUAACAUCUUCAGCAUAGUCUUUCGCUCCUAUCUG